AUGGCCUCCAAGCCCGGCCCUCUCACCCGGUGGCCAUGGCACGACAUGGGAAACUACAAGUACGCGCUGGUGGCGCCGUGGGCGGCGUACAGCACGUACCGGUUCGCGGCGGCGAAGGCGAGGGGCGAGGAGGGGGACCUGCUCAGCCUCUUCGUCCUCCCCACGCUGCUCUUCCGCCUGCUCUACACCCAGCUGUGGAUCUCCGUGUCCCGCCACCAGACCGCCCGCUCCAAGCACCGCAUCGUCAGCAAGAGCCUCGACUUCGAGCAGGUCGACCGCGAGCGCAACUGGGACGACCAGAUCAUCCUGACGGCGCUGCUGUUCUACGUGGUGAACUGGACGGCGCCGAUCGCGCAGGGCCUGCCGUGGUGGAACCCGCGGGGGCUGGUGGUGACCGCGCUCCUCCACCUCGGCCCGGUGGAGUUCCUCUACUACUGGUUCCACCGGGCGCUGCACCACCACUUCCUCUACGCGCGGUACCACUCGCACCACCACGCGUCCAUCGUCACCGAGCCCGUCACCUCCGUGAUCCACCCGUUCGCGGAGGAGGCCGUCUACUUCGGCCUCUUCGCCAUCCCGCUCCUCUCCAUGAUGGCCACCGGCACCGGCUCCGUCGCCAUGUCCAACGCCUACCUCAUCUACAUCGACUUCAUGAACUACCUCGGGCACUGCAACUUCGAGCUCGUCCCCAAGCUGCUCUUUGACCUCUUCCCGCCGCUCAAGUACCUCAUGUACACGCCCUCGUUCCACUCGCUGCACCACACGCAGUUCAGGACCAACUACUCGCUGUUCGUGCCCUUCUACGACUACCUGUACGGCACCAUGGACAAGACGAGCGACGACCUGUACGAGCGCACGCUGCACGGCCGGGAGGAGGCCCCCGACGUCGUCCACCUCACCCACCUCACCACGCCGGGCUCCCUCCUCCACCUCCGCCUCGGCUUCGCCUCCCUCGCCUCCGCGCCGCUCCGCUCGUCCUCCUCGGCGGCGGCAUCGGCGCUGGCGAUGGUGGAGCGGCCUCUCGCCGCGCUGGCCUCGGUGUUUGGCAGGACGGCGUUCCGGUGCGAGGCCAACAGGAUGGGCAAUCUCAGCACCGAGACAUGGGUCGUCCCGAGAUACACCUCCCAGUACACGUCGAAGAAGGAUGCGCACGCGGUGAGCCGGGUGGUGGAGCGGGCGGUGGCGGACGCCGAGGCGAGCGGCGCCGCAGUGCUCACGCUGGGACUGCUGAAUCAGGGGUACGAGCUGAACCGGAACGGGGAGCUGUACGUGAUCAGGAAGCCUGAAAUCAAAACGAAGAUCGUCGACGGCACCAGCCUCGCCGUCGCCGCCGUGCUCCACAUGGUCCCGCGCGGCGCCAGGGACGUGCUCCUCCUGGGGAAGGAGUGCAAGGUCGUGGCCGUGCUGGCCCAGGCCCUCUGCGAACGAAACAUUCAGGUUCGGGUGGUGGACGCGGAUCUGCACGAGGCGCUGAGGCAGCAGAUUAGCCCGGAGCUGCGGGGCCGCCUGGCUCUGUCCUGCAGCUACAGCAGCAAGGUGUGGCUGGUCGGCGAUGGACUGACGGAGCGGGAGCAGGAGAAGGCGACGCCGGGCACCCACUUCGUGCCCUACUCCCAGUUCCCGGUCACCGGCGGCGGCGACGCCCGCGCUGACUGCGUGUACCACAGCACGCCGGCGCUCGUGGCGCCGGAGUCGUACGAGAACCUCCACGCCUGCGAGAACUGGCUGCCGAGGCGGGUGAUGAGCGCGUGGCGCGCGGCGGGGAUCGUGCACGCGCUGGAGAGGUGGCCCGGGCACGAGUGCGGCGACGCGGUCACCGGCGUCGACAAGGCGUGGCGCGCCGCCCUGGCGCACGGCUUCCGCCCCUACGACGCCGUCGCCGAGCCAGGCCAAACGCCCGCUGAUGCCAACUGA
rnacentral:rRNA from 1 species